AUCCCAUCGGGGCCCUUGGCCUGGGGACCCCCCGCCCCGGCUUUGUGUGGUGGCCUCGUCACCGGCGCUGCCCCCCGCACGUCACAAAUCCGGGGAGAGGCCGGCCGGCCCGUCGCCCCGGCCUGCGAGAGUGUGCCUCCCCGGGAGCCGGCCUUGCUGGGACGCGCGGCCCUGCGCGCCACCUCCGCCCGGCUCCGGGUUCCCGGGGAUACUCGCGCUGGAGACGCGGAGCGCAAUAGGCCGUUCGGAGUUCGUCGACUCUCUGGGUGUCUACACUCUGAGAGACUUUUCAUUUUCUUUUUUAACAGCGGAGUUCCUCUUUCCAACCUGAUUACCUCGCACGACCUCGUUGGCCUGUCCUCUGCGGACUCCCGUUACCCUGGAGUUCUUAAAGGCGUUAAGCUGUUUUCCAGCUUGGCCCUGCAGUGUCUCUGGCAAUGGCUUUCAGCUGAGAAUGAAAUCAGAGCUUAGAAUCCAUCAUAAGAGGUUUUCUCUGUUCCACUGGAGGUUUACUUUAAAGAGUUUUGACCACAGGAUCUUGGGAAGAAGACCUCAAGCCUCAGAUGACACCUCAGCCCUACCAAAACCUUGAUUUCAGCCUUGUGAGAUUCUGAGCAGUGAGCCUACUUGGUCCUUACAUGGACUUCUGGAUUUACACAGCAGAAAAAUAAAUGGGUAUUGUUUUAAGCUGCUAAGUUUGUA
ensembl:lncRNA